ACAAGGGAGUUAUAGUGAGCGCCUUGUCGCUGACACAGGGACGUUUAGAUGGCAAGACGAUCGCGUCACGACGAUGGACGCAGAGGCGAUGCGGGCACUGCGCUGAGGUUUAAGCUACUAGAGGUUAGCUGCUAGUUGAGAUGUUUUAAGAGGUCUAUUCCCAGAAAGAAGGUCAGUUUUCGAUGAUGGUAGCAGUUAGCGUAGUUUGCUCGGCUGACACUACAACAAUGUGCUGACCGCUUUUGUGGGUCAGUGCGCCGUCAGGUCAAUGACCGUCAUCAUCAAGCUAAAUGAUUAAAGUUUUACCAGCGCACCGUGUUAAUCCGCCUAAACGAGCGUUCGAAGCUACUAAAAUUGAUUACACUGGUGCGAUUAAAAUAAAGUCAUCCAAGCACAAA